UGGUGUAAGGAGGUCCCCUGUCUCCCUGCACACAGUGUAUUAUAACUGCAGCUAUAAGGUUAUGGUGUAAGGAGGUCCCCUGUCUCCCCGCACAGUGUAUAACUGCAGCUAUAAGGUUAUGGUGUAAGGAGGUCCCCUGUCUCCCUGCACACAGUGUAUUAUAACUGCAGCUAUAAGGUUAUGGUGUAAGGAGGUCCCCUGUCUCCCUGCACACAGUGUAUUAUAACUGCAGCUAUAAGGUUAUGGUGUAAA